GUGGGGAAUAUUGGGCAAUGGGCGAAAGCCUGACCCAGCAACGCCGCGUGAAGGAAGAAGGUUUUCGGAUCGUAAACUUCCAUCCUUGGUGAAGAUAAUGACGGUAGCCAAGAAGGAAGCCCCGGCUAACUACGUGCCAGCAGCCGCGGUAAUACGUAGGGGGCAAGCGUUGUCCGGAAUGAUUGGGCGUAAAGGGCGCGUAGGCGGCCCGGUAAGUCUGAAGUGAAAGUCCUGCUUUUAAGGUGGGAAUUGCUUUGGAUACUGUCGGGCUUGAGUGUAGGAGAGGUAAGCGGAAUUCCCGGUGUAGCGGUGAAAUGCGUAGAGAUCGGGAGGAACACCAGUGGCGAAGGCGGCUUACUGGACUGUAACUGACGCUGAGGCGCGAAAGUGUGGGGAGCAAACAGGAUUAGAAACCCCGGUAGUCC
rnacentral:rRNA from 1 species